UCGGCUUUCUCACAAGACGGCGUGUACACGACAAGCCGUCGGGGGUGAAAGACGACA
rnacentral:pre_miRNA from 1 species